UCUAAUUGUAAAUUUUCCAAAGGAGUAUUAGUUAAGUUCUUGAAAUUUAAAGAUUUUGGCGGUAUUUUAAUCUUUUCAGAGGAAUCUGUUCUAUAAUUGAUAUUCCACGAUUAUAAGAACUUUAGUUAGAAAUUUGUAUAUCGUCGUUAUUUGAAUAUUUUAAAAGAAUUUAAUAUUCAAGAGUUUAGAAUUAAAACUAAAAUCAGAUCAAGGUGCAGUUUAUAUUAAAGUAGAAAUGGAUUACAAUAAAAUUAUUUAUGGAAUUAAUAUUUUGAAUUUUAAUAAAAUUGGAUUUGAAAGUAAUUAUAUUUAUAUUUUUAUAAUGAUUAAGCUCUAAAAUAUGC
rnacentral:rRNA from 1 species